UUUUUUUUUUUUUUUUUUUUUUUGGAAAGCUUUCUGCAAGAAAAAUAGGAGCUUAAUGGUACUUUGAACAUAAUGAAGAAUGCUUUAAAAUCUGUUAAAUGGACUAGUUUUUCACAUAUGCAAAGUUAGCUGAAUUCUGCAGCUGAUAAUUUUAAUACGUGCAGAGGCAAAUCAUGGGGGAAGUGGAUGUACAUGAGGUGCUUUAGGAUCAAGCCUAGUCACCAGAACUAUACAAAUAAAACUGUAUUAGAAAGCCUGAAACUUGCAUCUUCAUAUAUGUGCCAGUACACAAAGUACUUCUGUAAAAAUUUAUCACAAAUUUAAAAUAUGUAAUCAAUUAUCACAAGCCCAGAAAGCAAUCCUAAUGUUUACACAAAUUGUCUGCCAAAGCAGGUGGUUUUCUGCUUGUUUUUUUCCUUCCUUUGUUUUUCUUUUAUUAUUUCAUCUCUUUCUCUGUAUGUAAUAUGGAAUCUCAUUGCCUUCAUUAGAGAAAUAAAUAAUUUAAAAUUCUGGAAAAUCAGUUUACUGUGGCAUGUAAUUAACUUCGCUAAUAGAGAAGGAAACACACACGGCAUCAGUUUUACUUCAGAGGGAGGAAUGGUACAGAUAUUUACCAAGUCCAGUCAAUAUGAUGCAAAAAUAAUUUCACAUAGUUUUGUAUUUGACUCUAUGUAUUUGACUGCAUCCCCAAGAACCACAAGAACUCUCUACCACCAGCACCGGACCUCAGAGCAGGACCAGACCUUUCCACAGGCUCACUGCUCUGACAAGACCACAUCCAAUGGGACUGCAACCACCAUUUGGACUGCCACCACCACGCUGACCAACAGGGUAUCAGGUCGUGUUCUGACUUUGUCCCUUUAAACCAGCGUUUCUGUACUAUUGCCAUUAUUGUAAUUUUCCUAUUAAAUUGUAGCCCUGACUUGAAAUCUUUCACAUAGCACUUGUGUGGGGUUCAUUCCCUCCACUGUUUUACCUUCCACUCAGCACAAGCAGAUACUUUAAAAGUUUUCCAGACUAUACUAAAUGGCUUCUACUCUGCUUAGUGUGUGUGUGUGUGUCUUCAGACAUGAAACACACAUGAACAAGCACACUGAACCUACCCUCCCCCCCAUCUCAUAUGAUUUAGGAGAACAGCAUAAGGCUGCUGCUCCCUCUGCUUCACAGAUCAAAUUUUCUUGGACAGGAAAAGUAUUUAUGAAUAAACCAGCAAAAAAUAUUUCUGGUUACAUAUAAAGGAUAUACCAAUAUUGGCAAAGCAGGCAUUCAGUUUCAUACGGAAUUGCACACUGUCAAGAGAUAUUUCAAUUAUUUACAGAUAAAUAUAUAAUACAUAGUUCUCAGUACGUGGGGCUUUGGAAUUCACAAUUCAUCAACAUUCUCCAUCUUUGAGUAUUUUAAAUUACAUAAGAUCAUAGCUUACCUAGAAGGCAAGUAACUCUCCUUAUUUUGCAAUAAAAGCACUCAGAGGAGAACCCACACUACCAUUACCUACAUCUCAGCUGGUGGUUCUAGUGUUCAUUCAUAAUCAAGAAGAGUGGAAAAUGGAUUUGUAGAAAGUUCUCAGGGCCUGACAGAAGGUCCACACGGCAUGCAUCCAUAUGCAAACUUUGAGACAAGACAUACUUAUUUAGAAAUGCCAUGGAAUAGGACAGAUAUUGUUGAGAGAGAAAUGGAGCUAGAAACAAGUUUCAAAGGAUGGCCUUGCAAAUAAGACUAGAUACUUUGGACAAACAGAACUAUGAAAGAUGUAUUGUAGUGGGACCCACUUUAAGGCAUCUACAACAUGGCAUGGCAAAAAGCUAGGCCAAGAAACACUUAUAGUAUAUUUUCAUUAGGAAAUAGCUGGCUUCUGAUUGUGAUGGUGUGAAUUACAAACAUCUGCAUUGUGUCACCCUUCUCAUGAGACUGAAAAUAGAAUAAAAGUUUUUAAAACGCCUCUCAGUUGCCCCGUCUCUGGGUCAGGAAAAGGGUAUUGUCCUAUAAAGAACCAUGUCUAUUCAAAAAAAAUCAAAGACUUGAAGGUGUAAUUCAUGUGGUCAAAUGUAGACAUAGCCUUCAGAAUAUAACCCGCCAAGGAUUUGAAGUGGAGACUAUGAUGGAGAAUGCCACAUCCAGUCAGAUGAAACCAUUCCCAUCCACAGGAGACACAUUUCCUGCCUUUAGUACAGUUCCCCACAUGUGUGCCUUAACUACUACACUGCCACAGGUCACUGAAGCAGCCUUAGGAGAGGGUGGCUUUCACUGCACGUGUGUCAGUGGCUUGCUGGACAGCCUUUCUGCCGUGUUCACUUGUUUAUGUGCCCGUUUUCUUUUUCAUCUUCUGUAAGCUUUUUUCAGGUGGGUAGUACUUGGCAGGAGUUCCCUUGCUAAGCAUUAGUAGACACCCUACCAUAACUCAGAUCCUUUUUUGGGAUCACUGUGUGUUAGCAUAAUGAAAACAACAGGAAGAUAAUAGUGCUGAGCAAUCCUACUGCUUCAGCCAAAGAAAACAAACUUUCACAGCAAAGCAAGAUUAGAAUUUUUGAUCUUUACCUCUGAAGAGUCUUGGACUAAACCUAUGCAUUAAAAAACAAAAACAAAAACCAAAACCCAAUGAAAAAAAAAAAAAAAACCAACCAAAAAAACCCCAGACAAAGAGCAAGCAAGCAAAAAAAAAAAAAAAAAAGCACAGAAAUCACACUGUUGUUUCAAUGGCCCACUAUAUUACUCUGUAUUUCUCUGUAUUUACGUAUUCACAGCACUAUAGAUACACUAGAGAAACAGCAGAGAGAGUUAAAGGCUUCCAGAAGACAAUCUGGAACUCGGUGACAUGAAUGACUUGUAAGUAAUUCUAGGUCUACUAACUUGGAAGAUGACUACUUCAUGUCCAUCCUUUGUGCUGGGAAUAUAUAAAAGGACUACUCCACUAACAGUCAUCAGUCAGAUGACCCACAUCUCUCUCCUCUUCCUUUUAACAGGGAUUAGCUUCUCCCUGUGUUAACAAGGACUAGACACCCUUCAGCAAUGUCUUUAUGUUUUGUCCUGCCCUCCUUUAUUGUAAAAAUUUUUAUUAUUUUUUAAAAUGUGCUAGCUAGUGCAGACUAUUGAUUUGGAUUGUUUUAGCAGCAGAUGUUUCUUUUUUCUUAAGUCUUAAGACCUAAGGAACACUACAUUGCUCAAGCUUAUCAUGAACACAGAGAUUUACUUUAAAUGUUAACAAUAGUUGACUUUGCCAUGGAAGAGUGCUAAUUAAAGGAAAAACAAGAAGCAGCUGUAAAAUAUGAUAUCAUUCAGUUAAAAAGAUGACGUUACAGAAGGUAUGGAAUAGGGCAACAGGUUUUAUUCAUCAGCAGUAACCUAGAAUUUUGCUUUUUGCAAGCACAAAAAUAUAUUCUAUUUCUGAAAAUCCAUUAUGGUAUUAAGUCUGUCUUGAUGUUUUGAGUUCUUUUCAGAACAAACUUCUUCCUGAGAACUGCAAUAAUAAAGGCAGCUACCAUAUUCCUACUUCGCUACGAUGCUGUAUAAAUGCUAAUAUACUUUAGCUAACUAUAGUGAAAUAAAACUUACCUUAAAAAUCAAAUCCUUUUUCCCAUAAUGAAGCUCUUUCAGCUGGGCUUGGAUCUUUUUUGACUGAAAAUGAAGAUAAUCAAAUCAGGUUUUGGGUUUUUUAAAUUUUAAAUAUUAAAAAAAAUUAUGUGAAUUCUGAGAACAGCAGAACCUAGAUCAGAUUUAUAAUGUAGAAUGUCCCCCUCCAAAUAAUUGUCGAUUGCUUUUCCAGUUUCACAAGUCAAACCAACCAAAAGUACUGAGGAAAAUGCAAAAUGGCACACAACUAAAACACAUACCUGAGUUAGGACUGUAAAGAACAGCAGCUGGGCUUACACAUUUUGGACAUGAGCUGUUAUUAAUACUUGCCAUGAAGCAUAACUGAAGGCAUCAACUUCAAAGUAAACAAUCUUAUUCUUAGAAGCAAAAAGGCUCCAUAGGCUUAUAAAAGUCUUUGUAAAGAUCAGGGUGUUGCAGGUGUAACUACUUUGGAGCUACCUUCUCAGUUUGUAACCAUGCCCUUGAAAGUACAGGCAUAGUUAUGCUUAUUUAUAUCAGUUUAAGCUGAUAUUUACUUUAUAUAUUGCUAAAUAUAUCCUUAAAAUAAUUCUAACUAGUAGUCUAUAUAUUAUUUUAUUAAUUGAAACAAAAGAAAUAGAAAUUGAUUUUUUGUACUAAACUCAACUAUUCAAGGAACAUUAUUUCAACAUUUAUCCAAGCAUCCUCUCAAAGUAAUAAUUUGUUUUUAAUAAAAUACACAAUCCCAACUGAUAAACAAGACACUCUCUUGUAUUAAUUAAUGCCAAGUGUUUCGAAGUCCUUGGAAUGGAUUAGAAAUCUGUUUCACAUUUACUGAAAGAGCAUUCCAUAAACAUAAUAUAUUACAAAAGGAGUAUAUCUUAAGUUGGAAUUUUAAAAAAGAUUUUAUUUCUUACCAAUUGAUGCAGUCCAAUUCAGUGACAGACGUUUGGGAAGGCUGAAUAAAUCUAAGGAAUGGUAUUCUGUAAAAUCUGAAACUAAUAGCAAAGAUCAGUCCAGCAAAAUUCUUUGAAACAAUUUUGAUUUUGAAAAACUUAAGAAAAACAUUUCUAAUCCUAUUAUUUCCUACCUUUGAGAAUUUACCAGAAACUUGACUUUCUAAGUACUGAUCUGAAAAGGCAUAGACUCUAAUGAAGAAAAUGCUUUCAAUCAUCAUUAGGAAAAUUUUAGUACAGAGGAAAUUUUUUAUGCUUUGGUUUCUUUCUGGCAAGGUGCAAUAACCUUAAGAGCAAUUAUAGAUGCAAAAAACCCAGACUAAAGUAAUGUGAAUAAAUCAGAUUCACAUGUAUUAACUUUUUUUUUGAAAUUAAAAGAGAAAUAAAGGGAAUGCUUAUAUGAGUGCAGGUACUUCUACAUUGAGGAAUUUGCCAAAGACAGGAUCUUUAUUCCCCUGAAAUAAGGAAGCAUUCUGGAAAUCAGUAAUAAUGGAUUGUUCCUGUCUCAACUUCAAAACAAGUCUUUGGCAAUUCCUGGCUUAGUGUAGACAAGGAGUUCAUGUAAAUGAAAUCAGUUUUAUAUAUGUUAUAGAUGCAUAUAUCUAUAGAAUUAUAUCAUAGGCACGCCUAGAUGAUUUUAUCAGUCUAAAACUAGAGUUUGCAACUUGCUUUCUAAUACAUUUGAACUGCUUCUUGUGAAGUCACAAAAAUAAGUUUGGAUGACAGCACUUCAGGAACACUCACCAUAUAAGCAUUAUAUAUAUAUAUAUAUAUAUGUAUGUAUAUAUAUAUAUUUCGUACUCAUAUAUGUUCUUGUGUAUAUAUAAAAUACACCAGGAACCCCAGUACAAAAUACUUUGAUGCAAAUUUUUUUGGGUACAUUAGAUUUAGAACAGAGAGGAAUCUUCCUUACCUCUUCUGCGUGCAUAGCACCAAGCUUGUUUCCUGACCAGAGCUUGUUUUUGAGGCUCGGGCCGCCCGAGCCGCCGCCGCCCCCCGCCCUGCGCUCACAGACACCGCCCCGCGCGCCGCUCGC
rnacentral:lncRNA from 1 species